rnacentral:rRNA from 1 species
CCUACGGGGGGCAGCAGUGGGGAAUAUUGCACAAUGGGGGAAACCCUGAUGCAGCAACGCCGCGUGAGUGAAGAAGUAUUUCGGUAUGUAAAGCUCUAUCAGCAGGGAAGAAGAAAGACGGUACCUGACUAAGAAGCCCCGGCUAACUACGUGCCAGCAGCCGCGGUAAUACGUAGGGGGCAAGCGUUAUCCGGAUUUACUGGGUGUAAAGGGAGCGUAGACGGCUGUGCAAGUCUGAAGUGAAAGCCCGUGGCUCAACCGCGGAACUGCUUUGGAAACUGUAUAGCUUGAGUACUGGAGAGGCAGGCGGAAUUCCUAGUGUAGCGGUGAAAUGCGUAGAUAUUAGGAGGAACACCAGUGGCGAAGGCGGCCUGCUGGACAGAAACUGACGUUGAGGCUCGAAAGCGUGGGGAGCAAACAGGAUUAGAUACC